CCUACGGGGGGCUGCAGUGGGGAACAUUGGACAAUGGGGGGAACCCUGAUCCAGCCAUGCCGCGUGUGUGAAGAAGGCCCUCGGGUUGUAAAGCACUUUCAGUGAGGAAGAACGCCUGGUGGUUAAUACCCAUCAGGAAAGACAUCACUCACAGAAGAAGCACCGGCUAACUCCGUGCCAGCAGCCGCGGUAAUACGGAGGGUGCGAGCGUUAAUCGGAAUUACUGGGCGUAAAGCGCGCGUAGGUGGCUUGAUAAGCCGGUUGUGAAAGCCCCGGGCUCAACCUGGGAACGGCAUCCGGAACUGUCAAGCUAGAGUGCAGGAGAGGAAGGUAGAAUUCCCGGUGUAGCGGUGAAAUGCGUAGAGAUCGGGAGGAAUACCAGUGGCGAAGGCGGCCUUCUGGACUGACACUGACACUGAGGUGCGAAAGCGUGGGUAGCAAACAGGAUUAGAUACCCUGGUAGUC
rnacentral:rRNA from 1 species